AGAAACAAAAAUCAGAUAUGGAAGGGAAAACUAUUCUUCUCUGCCUUAUGGUGCUUGUGCUUCUAGGAAAUCUAAACCAUGCUCGGAAUUGCCAUACCCAUUGUGCUUUUUGGGAACCAUUUAUUUGUUUUCCUAUGACUUGCCAGGCAACAUGUGAGCAGAAGUGGCGGAAUCUCCUUGAUCACUCCUAUUGUCAUGCGGAUAACAUUUUCGUAAACUCUUGUAUGUGUGUUGUGUGUGAUAAGUGACUAUAUCGAAUUGCACUUUUCCAUCUUGCCAAACAAUGAAGAAUGAUGUCCAGUAAUAAAAUAUUCCAUUGACGUGCAUGUGAUAUUCUAUUUGAUUUUAUUCUGCUCUUCAUAAUCUUAUACUGUAUUUUGAUUUGAAAAA